rnacentral:rRNA from 1 species
UACGAAGGGGGCUAGCGUUGCUCGGAAUCACUGGGCGUAAAGCGCACGUAGGCGGAUUGCUAAGUCAGGGGUGAAAUCCUGGAGCUCAACUCCAGAACUGCCUUUGAUACUGGCGAUCUUGGGUCCGGGAGAGGUGAGUGGAACUGCGAGUGUAGAGGUGAAAUUCGUAGAUAUUCGCAAGAACACCAGUGGCGAAGGCGGCUCACUGGCCCGGUACUGACGCUGAGGAGCGAAAGCAUGGGGAGCGAACAGG